CCCUUCAAGAACCAGCUCAGGUGCCAUCUUCUCCAUGGCAUGAAACUUGGCAGUGGAGUAUAGGAUCAUAAUAAGAUCAUGGAUUUAGAGAUGGAAUGGAUCACAAGGUUUGGAGAUGGAGGGACCUUGAAGAUGAGGAAACUCAAGUCAAGAGUAAUAAAAGUCUUAUCCAGGAAAGAGGCAAGGCUGGGAGCUAGAUCCAGACACUGGUGACUAAGGCCAGGCCCUUGUUCCAUUCUCCCUACCCAAGGCCUCAAGAACAUGCUCAGUCCAAAUCUUUGGAGUUUAAACUCAAACCCAUAGUGGAUAACUCAUCAAACGCUCCACACCAACAUAGGAUGAUCUUUCUCUGCCAUUAAGACACAAGACCAUAGUUGCAUCUCUUCUUUCCUUUUAUUGAAAAAAAAUUCAUUUAGAAAAUGGCAGUUAAUAAGGGAGACAACAAAGUAAGAAAUGUAAGAGCUGGGGGACAGGUGAGGGUAGGACAUAUGGAGGACAUAAAGAAAACUAAAAAUGCCAUUGACCGAUUUGGUCAAAAGCACAAAACCUGAUAUCAGAAGGAUCUCUCCUUCCCCUGGUCUGUCUUCACAAAUUAAAGUGAUGGGUAUUACGUAUUAUUACUUUUUAAAGUCACCCCUGCAAGUCAGUCAAAUAAAUACAAAACUCAAAA